rnacentral:rRNA from 1 species
AAUGGCUGCAGUAAUUUGACUGUACAAAGGUAGCAUAAUCAUUAGUUUUUUAAUUAAAAGCUUGUAUGAAAGGUUGGACGAAAUAAAUUCUGUCUCUUUUUAAUAAAAUUAGAAUUUAAUUUUUAAGUUAAAAAGCUUAAAUAUUUAUAAAAGACGAGAAGACCCUAUAGAGUUUUAUAAUUUAAAUUUAUUAAUUAAUUUAGAUUUAUUAAUUUUAUUUUUUUUAAAAUUAUUUUAUUGGGGUAAUAGAAAGAUUAAAAAAAUUCUUUUUUUUAAAAAUCAUUAAUUUAUGAAAAUUUUAUGAUCCAUUAGAUUUUGAAUAUAAGAUUAAAUUACCUUAGGGAUAACAGCGUAAUUUUUUUUAAGAGUUCAUAUCGAUAAAAAAGUUUGCGACCUCGAUGUUGGAUUAAAGAUUAAUUUAGGUGUAGAAGUUUAAAUUUUUGGUCUGUUCGACCAUUGAAUCUUUACAUGAUCUGAGUUCAAACCGGUGUAAGCCAGGUUGGUUUCUAUCUUUAUUAAAAUUUUAUAUUUCAGUACGAAAGGACCAAUUAUAUUAUAUAUUUAUAUUUAAAUUAUUGAAUAU